rnacentral:sRNA from 1 species
UGACUACUGUUACAGCAGCUGCUGUUGCUUAUGGCUAAAGGCUCUGCAAUGUGCGGUCUGAGGUCUGCGGUUAGCUGUGUACACAAGUACAACAAUCUCCUACUCCUCCUUCUCUAUAUCAUUAUUGUGGCCUCAUUUAGUAGGCGAGCGCAGUAUAGGACGUCGCGAAAUGGUGAAUCAUUGUACUGGAACUGGCACUAUUUGUUAUGGGGGAAUCGCCUCGCAGUGGUAACUCUCGCUAGAGUCAAUACUGAUACAGUAAGAAUGCUAAGAUUGAGGCUCAUGAUAAGGGAAAAAAAAUAAAAAUAAAAAUAAAAAUACAUGUACUAGCAAAUAGAAGAAGAGGAGGAGGUAAAGGAGAACAACAGAUGAUGCUAUUGAUAAUGGGACAAUGUUUUGUUCUGUGUGGUUUUUUUUUUUCCUGCCCGAAUACGAACCGUUCAAUACAUCGUAUCAGUCAUCAUGACCAACGAUAAUAACGCUAGGCCGUCCAACGGCAUCAUCUAUU